UAAGGAAUAUUGGUCAAUGGACGAAAGUCUGAACCAGCCAUGCCGCGUGGAGGAUGAAGGCCCUCUGGGUUGUAAACUUCUUUUAUAUGGGACGAAAAAGGAUCUUUCCAGAUCAACUGACGGUACCAUGUGAAUAAGCACCGGCUAACUCCGUGCCAGCAGCCGCGGUAAUACGGAGGGUGCAAGCGUUAUCCGGAUUCACUGGGUUUAAAGGGAGCGUAGGUGGACUAGUAAGUCAGUGUUGAAAUCUCUGGGCUUAACCCGGAAACUGCCAUUGAUACUAUUAGUCUUGAGUAUUGUAGAGGUUAGCAGAAUAUGUCAUGUAGCGGUGAAAUGCGUAGAUAUGACAUAGAACACCAAUUGCGAAGGCAGCUGGCUACGCAUAUAUUGACACUGAGGCACGAAAGCGUGGGGAGCAAACA
rnacentral:rRNA from 1 species